CUUGCUUCCCCUUUGCCUUUCCCCAUGAUUGUAAGUUUCCUGAGGCCUCCCCAGAAGCAGAAACCUGUACAGCCCAUAGAACGUGAGCUGAUUAAACCUCUUUUCUUUAUAAAUUACCCAGGCUCA